UUAAAGCAUGCAUGUAUCAUAUUUACUUGUUCUAAACACCGUGCAUCUUCUUUUUUAUUUUGUUCUUCGUGUUGGUCUAAGGGGUACAAAUAUUGUGGAAAAGGUGCAAUCGGCCAUGGAAGAGAAGUGUCGAGGCGCUUAUAACGAUAAAAAUACCUUCGAAAGAAAGUAUAGACAACUCAGGGCAACCAGGUGGUUUAUUAAAGGGUGCACUUUUCUUUUCCUCAUUUGUAAAGCUUCCGCCUCGACGACGUCUUUCUGCAUAUUUUAUAAAGGCAGCUUGUAUAGCAUGCUCGUUUGAACAUGCACCGCAUGAAGUUGUAAAAACACAUGGUAAUCCUUUUGGAGCUACCUGAUUAAAUGACAUUGUAUACAUAACAUUUUAUUUCUUUUCAAUCUAUCAUUAUUUACUGUGUCUUACACAUGGUUGAAGUAACGUAUCUUGAAGUUUGCAUGGCCACUCUAAACCAGGGAACAAUCCCAAUGCUGGUCUAUUUGCCAUUAUUCGCUAAAAGUACAUACAAUAAUGGAAAUUACAAGAAAUAUAAUAAUUUUGUAUUAUAUUUACUUGAUUUCCUACACACGACAAUGCACCAAGGAUAGAGCGAUGAUUGUAUCCAAGAGGAAGAGUAGAAAUUUGCAUAAACAUAUCUAAGAAAACGUUUCCAUCAAUGUCUGCUAAAUAAUUUCCAACGGAUCUUUGAUAGUCUGCAAAAUAUUGAAUGGAGCCUACUUGCUGCAAUAUUUUAUAAUGAAAAUUCAUUCAGAAGAGUUUCUGAUCUUGGUCCUGGAAUUUCUGUAAGUGUGUACGGUUUCGCUGGUUCCCCAGGUAAAGGUGCUUUUGCUAGAUGGUGAAGUUCUGCAGAUGUCAUUUGACAAACGUAUAUUACACGUUAAAACUAGGACUAGUACAUUGAUCUUCGGAUGAUAACUUUCAAUGUAUUUACUUUGUACUUACGACGAGGUGGUCGACUCUUUCGAACGGAAUACAAUACACUUUUACAUAACAUAUUGUACGAAAUUUGUAUAUAUUUUAAAUAUUGUCACUUUUAUAGAGAAUUUAUAAAAUACGAUUACAAUUAUAUUUGAAAACUUUAGUAUACGUGUAAUUAAUUCAUGCUAAAUUGAAAAGCAUUUGAAACAAAGUUUAAAAAUGAUAAUAAAAGUUAUAUAAUUUAUUUAUACGAAUGACAUAUUCAUACUUUUGUUUCUGAUCAUGACAGAAGAAAGUAACCAACUGUUAAUGUAGGUAUUAGUAUUGCCUAAACUUCAAAGUAUUGAUAAAGUCUACGUCUAUUUAAAUAAUAAUAAAAAGAAAGGUAAUAUACAUUUAAAUAAAAUGUGUCUAUAACUAUGAAUUUAUACAGUACAGUAUUUUUUUUUGUAUGUAAUAUGAAAUUAAGAAUGAACUACUGAACGGUAUUAAUAUACUUUUUUAAAGUUUCAUGAAGCCACUGUCAUACAGCAGUUUAUUGUUUUUUAAGCAAUUACAAAUUAAAAAAGGUAAAUUAACAUACUAUGCUCUCUUCUAACUUAUAUUUAUAGUGCAAUAAAAACAACAAAGUUUAUGAUUAAAAUUAGUACAAAUAUAUUUAUUAUAAACUAGUAAUAUUAGAUUUAGAUGAAUAUAGUUAUGUAAUCACACUUUGUUGCUUUUUCCUUAAUAGAAAUAAACACCUUGUUACAUGAUUAAUAAGCGGGGAGUGAAAUGGAGCAGCGUAAAAUUUACACGGCUGCAAUUUCUUCACCCAGUUUUUACACUUCAGUAGCAUGCCAAAAACUUACACGGCUAAAUAUCUAUUACACAUUUCAAAGUGUUUCUACAAUUCUUUUUUUUUUACAGAAGAAACUUUACUUCAAUACAUUGUCAAAUAUCGCUCCUACGUAAGAAAGGAAAAUUCGACAGAAUGAUCGUAGUACGGCUAAGAUUAUCUUAAACGCAUUCACGAUUUCAAGAGUAUUUAUUGAUUUUAUUUGUUUACAUGCGUCUCGUGAGAGGGAUUAACUCUUUGGGAUAGUUCGUUUCUUCCCUUUGUCUCGGACGAUACAUAAAGUUAGUACGUUGCAUUACAUUUAAAUUGGCAUGUUUAAUUCGCUCGUAGAAGUAUCUUAACGCAAAUAGUUACUAAUAUUUGUUCAAAAAUCUAUACGAAUCAGUAAACUUUCCGAGGCAAUGCAAAAGAAUUCAAAACAUACAUGCAAUCACAAAGAGUAAAUCCGUCGGAGCAUCUUCACCCUAAAAUAAAAUUCUGUUUAAAAUGUUCGCUUAACUCUUUGCUAUCUAUCGAUUGAACGAACUUUAAAUGUAGAUACAUUCAUCGUAAAUACAGAAUAUAUCCAGAACUGCUAGGAAUUUAAGAAGCGAUCGCAGCAAAGAAUUAAGCAAGCAGAAAUAAGAAAUGAAUUCAUAACGUUUUAAUAAUACAGAUCGACGCAUUUUGAAAAUUUUCAAAGUACAUUACACACAAAUAAAAUAAUGCCCCGAUUAGUUUAACGAGACGCAUAACGAUGUACGACCACUCGGAGCGAGCUUACAAUAAAGCUAAUGUGGUGUAUAAACCUGGGCAAAGUAACGAACUAUGUAUCCUGUAACUAUAAUUGAAAGUCGAAGGUAAAAAACAGAUCAGUGCCAGGGUUUUAUGAACUUUGAAUUAAAAAUACUGUACAAGCAUUAUCCUGGCGAAAAUGUACAACCUGCUUUGAGCGAUCUGCUUUCUUUCACUUAAACAAAUCAUAGACGAUCGACAAGACACGUCUCAAACUCGUGAAACAUACAGUUAUUGUACAUACCCGAAGCCACGACUCUCAAUUCUCAAUAUCAGAGAACAAGUUAGUUGUUUUCCUUACGGGAAAUACAUUAGACCCUCAUAGAAUAAACCUACGUGUAGUUUUUGUUCAAAAAAAUUCUAGUUUUCCGUUGACUGACGCAAAUAUUUACUAUUUACUUUCACUCUCGUAUUUUACUAGUGAAACUUUAGAAGCAUUUUUUAAUUGUAUUGCUUCUUUAUGAGUAUGUAUAUACGGGUGUGUGUUUCUGUGUAUUUAUUGAUAAAUAUCCACGAAAUAAUAUUGCCCUUUUUAUAUCCUUUAUGAUUAUAGAUACCGAACAUACUCGUACAUGUACAAUGCAGCACAGUCUAGUAAUUUCCACAAAUGGUAGUUUAAUAGCUAAAAUAUAAACAAUAUUUUCAUACAAAUCAGUUUCCAGCGUUUUACUGACUUUUCUCCGAAAAAUCCGCGUCAUAUCAGAACCAAAACUCUAUAUUCUAUUCACUCAUAGACUUUCCUACUUGGAUAUAUACAAAGCAGAUGUUCCUGCUGUAGUUCUUACAAGCUAAGAUCGUACGUGUUACUUAUAAACAAUUUUAUAGAAAAUUUAUGUGAUAAAACAACAUAAUAAUAGUUACUUGUGACCACAAUAAACAAAUUUGUACAAUUUAUUAUGCGCUUGCUAAAUAGUUCUUACGUCUACGUGAGAGAAAAUUUUUUUUUCUUCUAUUAGAUGAAAUAUAAUGACGUGUAGCGAUUGGACCAUUUUUCUUUCCUUUACUGCAUGGGUAUGAGUAACGUUCGAAUGGUUCUCCAACGUACUUGUUUUCAUUUUCCACGGAUUCGCAUUGGGUUACUAAAAACUCAUCGUUCUAGACGCUCAGUGGCACUGAUUUGAUAUAUUUGUUAAUUAUUCUCAUAACAUGCAUAAUUACACGUAGUUCAUCAAUGUACAUAAAUAGUAAAGCUCAUGUAGGAAUUCUGAACCACAACUUAUCGUUUGUUCUAAAAAGAGAAACGAAAGAAAUGUUUUUCUCGAUAACGCAGAUAUAAGGUAAGAAGUAAUCUUGUAUUUACUUUUACUCGCUCGAUAAGAAAAAGGAUUAGUAUACUGACGAAUAUUUUAUUUUCAUGAACACAUAAACAAUGAAAGUUGUUACUGAGAUAAAGCGCAUGGUAUCGUUACUAUCUCAAAUUGAAAUACAAAACUAGAAUCCUAUGAAUAGUUGAUUUAAUUCAUUCAUGCAGUGAUAUAAUUAAAUUUUAUAAGUUCCGGUUCAAAAUCCAUUGUUGAGCACAAUUUAAAGAAAGUUCGCUUUCACGAAGGCAAAUGAAACUGUUCACACAACUCUAAUAAAUAGUGGACAUACAUGUCCUACUCUUACGUACUUAUGGCUAUUUUGAAUGUCUCUUUUCUACUGGCACAGAUCGAUCCUUUUUCACUGCACAAAAGUAAAUUGCUGAUGCUUCGCACUUCCACUAUUUAUAGUUACAGUUUUCUUCUUUAUUUUUUUUGUAUUACUUUUUUUUAAUUGCUUACUUUCCUUCAGAAAACUUUUCUCUCAAGCUCUUAAUUUUGUGAACAAAAUAAGUUUCUAAGGAUUCUGCACAUUUAAAGAAG